UUCAGUUGAUCCCGCCGGACCUGACUGCUAUCGUGAUUGGUACUAAGCCAUGCGAGUCAUUGUACAAUACAAGGCGGACGGCUCAGUAACACGUAGUCAACCUAACUCGUGGACGUGGAUAACCUCGGGAAACUGAGAAUAAACCACGAUAGAUCAUUAUGCCUGGAAUGGCUUAUGGUUCAAACAGUUUACUGCCAUGGGAUGGGACUGCGGCCUAUCAGCUUGUUGGUGAGGUAAUGGCCCACCAAGGCUAUAACAGGUACGGGCUCUGAGAGGAGAAGCCCGGAGAUGGGUACUGAGACACGGACCCAGGCCCUAUGGGGCGCAGCAGGCGAGAAACCUCAGCAAUGUGCGAAAGCACGACUGGGUCAGUCCGAGUGAUUCCUGAUAAAGGAGUCUUUUGCUUGUCCUAAAAGCACAGGUGAAUAAGGGGUGGGCAAGUCUGGUGUCAGCCGCCGCGGUAAUACCAGCACCUCGAGUGGUCAGGACGUUUAUUGGGCCUAAAGCAUCCGUAGCCGGCUCUGCAAGUCUCCGGUUAAAUCCACCUGCUCAACAGAUGGGCCGCUGGAGAUACUAUAGAGCUAGGGAGUGGGAGAGGCAGACGGUAUUCAGUGGGUAGGGGUAAAA
rnacentral:rRNA from 1 species